CUCUCUCUCUCUCUUCUCUCUCUCUCUCUCUUUCCGCUAGACGUGUGGCUGUCUUCGUGUUCCGAUGGCUGGCACGAAGAGACACGUAAUGGCCGCUCGAUGCAAUGUGGCCGAUGAAGAAGAAGGUUACCACUCUGAUCGUGGUAUAAGCGUAUGCUUCCUCGGUGAACAGCGCGCCAAGCGACAGAGCAGAAGCGGAUGGCAAGGGCGCCACACAUACAAUUGCAUAUGACGCUGUCAUAUAAUAAUAUAAGAAAAAUGGAAAAAGUUUUUAUAAUUAAUAAUAUUGCACAUAUAAUGAAAUCAAGUAACGGUGCAUCUGAUAGUGACUCUGAUACAAUGGAGAAAAUAUUAAUAAUAUUAAAGAAAAGUAGAUCAAAUUUUAUAUCUAAAAUACGUUGUAGAAGAUGUAAUAUCUCGAUAUACAAACAAAGAAUUUAAAAUUCACUUUCGAUUACAUCGGAAUACAUUUUUUUUAUAUUGGAAUUAAUAGGGCCAAUCUUAGAAAGGGAUGGAAAAUCAGGUAGAGGCAUGAUUUCUCCUGAAAAACAAUUAAAGCAAUAAUUUCGUAUAUAAUAAUGUUUAUACAAACUUGGUGUAGCGCGAAUGAUCGAAUCUGCUACAAUAUAUCAAACUUUAUUAUUAUUUCGCAAUGCUUUUUGUGCAUUUUCUUUAUUUAUUAUUAUUUUAUAUUGAAUAUUUGUUUCUGCACCGAGUAGGGUUAACUCUUCUUUCUCGAACGUCGCCAUUUUGUACUAUAACUGUUGAGUCUUUUUAGCUACAGUAGCCGCAGCAGGAAGUGACGACAAAAUUUAUGACGUCAUUAUUCUAUCGUAGUGCUAUCGCAGCACACUGGAAUGAAUUUCGGAACGGCAUUACAGUACUAUCAGUACUGGCAGUGAGUUACGGAAUGCAGCCCAAGUCUCCUUACACCAUGGGUGUAAAUGAGUAGACUUAUUUCUGCUGAUUCUUAUAUAUUUAAUUGUAAUUAUUUUAAUAACUCACAAGACCUUUUAAUGACACUUCAUAAUUUCUUUAUACAAAAUACAAACAAUUCCAUAUG